UAAUACGUAGGGGGCAAGCGUUACUCGGAUUUAUUGGGCGUAAAGCGAAUGUAGGCGGUUUGGUAAGUCAGAGGUGAAAUCCCUCAGCUUAACUGAGGAAGUGCCUUUGAUACUGCUAAGCUUGAGGACAGGAGAGGAAAGUGGAAUUCCCGGUGUAGCGGUGGAAUGCGUAGAUAUCGGGAGGAACACCAGAGGCGAAGGCGGCUUUCUGGACUGAUCCUGACGCUGAGAUUCGAAAGCCAGGGGAGCAAACAGGAUUAGAUACCCUGGUAGUCCUGGCUGUAAACGAUGGAUACUAGAUCUUGCAUGAUUUUGCUUGGUCGAAGCUAACGCGUUAAGUAUCCCGCCUGGGGAGUACGGUCGCAAGGCUG
rnacentral:rRNA from 1 species